AUUGAACGCUGGCGGCAUGCUUAACACAUGCACGUCGAGCGAGCGGCGGACGGGUGAGUAAUGUCUGGGACACUGCCUGAUGGAGGGGGUUAACUAAUGGAAACGGUAGCUAAUACCGCAUACCAUCAGAUGUGCCCAGAUGGGAUUAGCUAGUAGGUGGGGUAAUGGCUCACCUAGGCGACGAUGCCUAGCUGGUCUGAGAGGAUGACCGGCCACACGGGAACUGAGACACGGGCCAGAGGCCUACGGGAGGCAGCAGGGGGGAAUAUUGCAAAAUGGGAGAAAGCCUGAUGCAGCCAUGCCGCGUGUGUGAAGAAGGCCUUCGGGUUGUAAAGCACUUUCAGCGAGGAGGCGUUACUCGCAGAAGAAGCACCGGCUAACUCCGUGCCAGCAGCCGCGGUAAUAC
rnacentral:rRNA from 1 species